GAUGAACGCUGGCGGCGUGCCUAACACAUGCAAGUCGAACGGAAAGGCGCUGCUUUUGCGGGGUGCUCGAGUGGCGAACGGGUGUGUAACACGUGAGUAUCCUGCCCUUGACUUUGGGAUAUCUUCAGGAGACUGGGGCUAAUACCGGAUAGGAGAUCCUGCAGCAUGGUGGGGGUCGGAAAGUUUCGGCGGUUGUGGAUAGACUCGCGGCUUAUCAGCUUGUUGGUGGGGUAGUGGCUUACCCAGGCUUCGACGGCUAGCCGGCCUGGGAGGGUGGCCAGCGACAUGGGGACUGAGGGACGGACCAGACGGCUACGGGAGGCAGCAGUGGGGAAUAUGGCACAAUGAGCGGAAGCCUGAGGCAGCAGCGCCGCGAGCGGGAUGACGGCCUUCGGGGGGUGAACCGCUGUCGCCUGUGACGAAGCGGGAGUGACGGUAAUGAGUAAAGAAGCACCGGCUAACUACGUG
rnacentral:rRNA from 1 species